CAAAAACACUGUGAAGGUGGAAACUGUGAUGAAGUGUCUUGUACUGUCCCAGGGUACACGAUUGACCCUGUGUUGAGUUGCUUCCGUUUUUCGAAGGACAAUCCAGGACCUAAGAGGCUUGCAAGAGAGAGAUGUGCUAAAGAUGGCGGGCAAUUACUUCUAAUUGACUCGGCGUUGAAGGCCUCUGUAGCAUUGUCCAUACUAGUUAACGAGUCAUCGCACGGUAUUUGGAUACAAGGAACGAGAACCUCUGUCUCAUCGCCUUGGUUGACUGACGAUGGGGAUGACCUCCCUUAUAUUGGACCAAACUAUAGAGAUUUUGCUAGCGAUCCCAGUCGCCCGCCUCUGGAGUUGAGUUUUGAUAAAGACAACACGUUUCUUGGAGGACCUGGUGACUCGUACUACCAUGUUAUUUGUG